GAUGAACGCUGGCGGCGUGCCUAAUACAUGCAAGUCGAGCGAACGGACGAGAAGCUUGCUUCUCUGAUGUUAGCGGCGGACGGGUGAGUAACACGCGGAUAACCUACCUAUAAGACUGGGAUAACUUCGGGAAACCGGAGCUAAUACCGGAUAAUAUUUUGAACCGCAUGGUUCAAAAGUGAAAGACGGUCUUGCUGUCACUUAUAGAUGGAUCCGCGCUGCAUUAGCUAGUUGGUAAGGUAACAGCUUACCAAGGCAACGAUGCAUAGCCGACCUGAGAGGGUGAUCGGCCACACUGGAACUGAGACACGGUCCAGACUCCUACGGGAGGCAGCAGUAGGGAAUCUUCCGCAAUGGGCGAAAGCCUGACGGAGCAACGCCGCGUGAGUGAUGAAGGUCUUCGGAUCGUAAAACUCUGUUAUUAGGGAAGAACAUAUGUGUAAGUAACUGUGCACAUCUUGACGGUACCUAAUCAGAAAGCCACGGCUAACUACGUGCCAGCAGCCGCGGUAAUACGUAGGUGGCAAGCGUUAUCCGGAAUUAUUGGGCGUAAAGCGCGCGUAGGCGGUUUUUUAAGUCUGAUGUGAAAGCCCACGGCUCAACCGUGGAGGGUCAUUGGAAACUGGAAAACUUGAGUGCAGAAGAGGAAAGUGGAAUUCCAUGUGUAGCGGUGAAAUGCGCAGAGAUAUGGAGGAACACCAGUGGCGAAGGCGACUUUCUGGUCUGUAACUGACGCUGAUGUGCGAAAGCGUGGGGAUCAAACAGGAUUAGAUACCCUGGUAGUCUACGCCGUAAACGAUGAGUGCUAAGUGUUAGGGGGUUUCCGCCCCUUAGUGCUGCAGCUAACGCAUUAAGCACUCCGCCUGGGGAGUACGACCGCAAGGUUGAAACUCAAAGGAAUUGACGGGGACCCGCACAAGCGGUGGAGCAUGUGGUUUAAUUCGAAGCAACGCGAAGAACCUUACCAAAUCUUGACAUCCUUUGACAACUCUAGAGAUAGAGCUUUCCCCUUCGGGGGACAAAGUGACAGGUGGUGCAUGGUUGUCGUCAGCUCGUGUCGUGAGAUGUUGGGUUAAGUCCCGCAACGAGCGCAACCCUUAAGCUUAGUUGCCAUCAUUAAGUUGGGCACUCUAAGUUGACUGCCGGUGACAAACCGGAGGAAGGUGGGGAUGACGUCAAAUCAUCAUGCCCCUUAUGAUUUGGGCUACACACGUGCUACAAUGGACAAUACAAAGGGCAGCGAAACCGCGAGGUCAAGCAAAUCCCAUAAAGUUGUUCUCAGUUCGGAUUGUAGUCUGCAACUCGACUACAUGAAGCUGGAAUCGCUAGUAAUCGUAGAUCAGCAUGCUACGGUGAAUACGUUCCCGGGUCU
rnacentral:rRNA from 1 species